rnacentral:rRNA from 1 species
CCUACGGGAGGCAGCAGUGGGGAAUAUUGCACAAUGGGGGAAACCCUGAUGCAGCGACGCCGCGUGAGUGAAGAAGUAAUUCGUUAUGUAAAGCUCUAUCAUCAGGGAAGAAAAUGACGGUACCUGAGUAAGAAGCCCCGGCUAACUACGUGCCAGCAGCCGCGGGAAUACGUAGGGGGCAAGCGUUCUCCGGAUUUACUGGGUGUAAAGGGAGCGUAGACGGCAGUGCAAGUCUGGAGUGAAAGGCGGGGGCUCAACCCCCGGACUGCGCUGGAAACUGUACGGCUGGAGUGCAGGAGAGGAAAGUGGAAUUCCUAGUGUAGCGGUGAAAUGCGUAGAUAUUAGGAGGAACACCAGUGGCGAAGGCGGCUUACUGGACUGUAACUGACGUUGAGGCUCGAAAGCGUGGGGAGCAAACAGGAUUAGAUACCCGUGUAGUC